rnacentral:rRNA from 1 species
GACGAACGCUGGUGGCGUGCUUAACACAUGCAAGUCGAACGGACUAUUUCAUUUCGGUGGGAUGGUUAGUGGCGAACGGGUGAGUAACGCGUAGACAACCUACCUCUUAGAUGGGGACAACAGUUCGAAAGGACUGCUAAUACCGAAUGUUGUAUAUUUUCCACAUGGAAGAUACAUUAAAGAUGGCCUCUAUUUAUAAGCUAUCGCUCAAAGAUGGGUCUGCGUCUGAUUAGCUAGUUGGUGGGGUAACGGCCUACCAAGGCGACGAUCAGUAGCCGGUCUGAGAGGAUGAACGGCCACAUUGGGACUGAGACACGGCCCAGACUCCUACGGGAGGCAGCAGUGGGGAAUCUUCCACAAUGGACGAAAGUCUGAUGGAGCAACGCCGCGUGAGUGAAGAAGGGUUUCAGCUCGUAAAGCUCUGUUGUCGGGGACGAAUGUGCAGUAUUUGAAUAAAGUACUGCAAUGACGGUACCUGACGAGGAAGCCACGGCUAACUACGUGCCAGCAGCCGCGGUAA